AUCGCGCUUGGUUGAAAAGC
rnacentral:snRNA from 1 species